ensembl:lncRNA
AAAAUAGGAGCAUUUAAAGGCCAAGAAAAGACAUAUGGUCUGUCUAUGCUUGCCUUAUAUGCACAGAAAUUAUAUAUUAAGCUACAAUUUAGCCACUACCUUAAUGUGAAAAUUCUCCUUUUUUUUUUUUUUUUUUUCCCAUCUUCAUCUUGGGAAAUUUAACAGAUUUGGUGUCUGUAUUUUCAUGAGAGUAGACAAAAGAAGAAGGCAAAUCAUUCUUGGUGGCUGUUUUUCAUAAGGUCAGAUAAUGAAAUACAAGUGCAAAGAAAAAACAGUGUGAUAGUAUCAAUUGCAUAUGUGAGCAAAGGUCACUGAAAGGAAGCAGCUUUCACAACUGGCCGGAGGAAGUUUCCUGACGUGGUGGCAAGAACAACUCCAACUGUGAUCAUUUCUGAAAAGCAACCUGUUUGCUACAGAUAGAAGAUUUCGCUUGUAAAAUAAACUUAUCUGGUAUGUGUGAUUAUUUUAUAUUUUUUCUUUGUUUGAUCAGUAUGUAUACUGAGCUCAGUGCUUUGCAUAAAUUGGUGCUCAUGGAUGCGUUUGGGCUUCUCUUGGAUAAGGACUGUGUGGGCUUUUGAACAAUAGUCUGCCAAGAAAUUUAUCAUGAAUCCUAAUUGUUUGAGCAAACAGUUGUUCUUUUUCUCCAGCAAAUACUGUUGUAUCCACAUUAUUAACAUAGUUAUGUAUAGUUGCUUUGAAAAUCAUUCUUGAUUUGAAGAAUUCUAAUGCUUUGUACAGUGAUUAUGCAAAAGUCUCAUGUAUAAGCAAUGCCGAUGUUACUGGAAGCGCCUCAUAUAGAGUCCAAAUAUAGCAGAUCAAAUCAAAACUGUGCUACAUCUUAAGCAACUGUUGACCCAUUUCCAUAUCAAAUUGGUUUCUGUCACAGAAGACUUUGCUUUUUCUUCUAGAGAUAUUUACUUGUGCUGUGCUGCUCAAGUAAGGCAAUGGCACAUUUUAUUCUAACGUCACUUAAUAAUGGGUCAAAUGAUUUCUAACACUGCUUGUUUAUUGACACCUUUCUGUUUAAGAGAGUGUCAUAAUGAGAAGCUUGUUUCUGCUCUGUAAUAUACGACCAUACCACCAAUUCCUGAAAAAUCAGCCGCUGUAAUUCAGCACAUGCAGAAAGUCAGUGCAAGGUGCCAUGCCAUGUGCGGGAUGAAUAUUGAUAGCCUUGAUCAGCACAGUCCUAAGUCUCUAACUUACAUAAACAGUGGGGAAACAGAUUUACAAAUUUCAUUUUGACCUUUGUUUAUCCUGUUUAUCCUCUUUUUUUUUCUUCUUUUUCUUUUUUUGAGGGGGAAGGGAGGAAGGAGCAGAAUUAAUAGGACAUAGCAUAUCAGUAAGAUUUCAGAGGCUGCUGUAAAUACCUAGAGUAGGAAGAAGGUGAGUUGUUAGUGGUGUGACUUGUUUGUGUCACUUUGUUAGAACAUUAGAAGUAUCUUAAUAUAGAUUUCUUUUUUUUUGUUCUAGUGAUACAUUCAUUUCGUCAGGGAGGGGAUGGGUAAAAUUUUCUACUGUUUUUCUGGCAUUAAUUGCAACUCCCUUCUGCUGCUCCGUGCAGCUCUCCCUGGCAUGGCCCUGGGCCCUCUAGCGGACCUGUGCUGCUUGCAGCAAUUUCUCUGCCAAAACGCCGCUUCUGUUGCUAUGUUGUUUGUUAGGGCUACACUACUGUAUGUGAAAAUCGACACAGACAAUGUUGCUGAGUUGUAAGUCUGAGAUUCAUAUAUUUUAAGCAGCAUUUAUUUCUUGCACAAAGUACGUAACCUCGGCUAUAGGUCAGGUUAUGCGGUGGUCCUGGCAGAGGCCUUGUUCUAAAUAAUAUGCUAUGCUGAACAGUAUCAGACCAUGCCUACAGAAUCAGUUACUUAUCAGUGGUAUUUGAACGUCUCCACUUCAAAAUAUCAGUGAUUUACUUUUUCCAGUGAUUCUACUUGUUUUCUUUUUCACGUGUUCUAUUGUCUAAAAUAAAGCCUCUUUCAAAAUGUAAGCACAAUAGAAAAUGAUAAAGAAUAAAUGCAAUAUAUUGUUUAGGUGAUCAGUAUGUUUACGUACAUCAGUAACCAUUCCGAUUUUUCAAGCAUACAAGAAUAUUAUUUGUAAAUUAUUGUAUUUGCCUUUCUUUAGUUUUUCAUUUGAAAAGGGAGCUCCAGUCACUAUGGAGAACAGUGUUGCUAACAUAAUAGUUUUCAUU